UUUUCACGAUCGCCAGUAUCGUUGUGAUCGUUCUACUAUUUGCGGAAUUAUUGGAGCAUGAUUCGCAGCUAGGAGUGAGAAAGCAUUUCGUUUAACAAGAGCCCGGCUUUAACUUUAGCUUUAUGCCAACAUAUGUUAUGGUCAGUCAACUGCUCAAGAUGUGGCAAAGAGAAGUGAUAUGGCGCGACGAUACGGUCAUCUCUUCAAAGAUCGGAUCCAAUCUUCUCGGAUAUUGACUGCGCUAUAUCAUACUCCGUGCUCUUCCUCGCUCUUUUCUGACCACCAAUAGAAGCAGCACGGUAGAUGGGCGGGACCGUACGAGUUGGAUGAGAGAAGAGAAGAGAGUGAGAGACGAGGAAAACGUCGGAGAUGGAGGAGAAAGAGGAAGAGACGCAGUGGGGAUUUCGAGUCUGACUGUAUAAGGAGGAGGGUGGUUCGUGAGAGUGGCUCAGGGUGCUACCCCCAGAUGGGUGUUACAGGGGUGCAGGGUGACCGUCCGAGUUAAAACUAAGAUUCUGAAGGGUGGUAGUGCUGCGAUGGCGAAGUGACCUUGGCAGUCAGGAAUCCGGUCUGACAACAUGGAUCGACACAACCCACUGGCAUCCGAACGAAAAGGAACGAACGAAGCACGCGCCCGUGCUGUACGAGUUGAACGGCCUUAAGGACUCAGGUGCGUGCACCAGGUGUUCGUCGUUUUGCGAGUAAACGUGCGAACGAGCGACAAGAAUGAAACUAUCAAAGGAAGAAGAGAGAGAGAAAAGGAAGAGUGACAUAUCAUAACCGAAUGAGAAAGAUGAUCGAACGAGGGCAUAAGAGGAUGAGUGGAUCAACAAGAACAUAUCUAUUAUUUCGGAAUACCGCUGUUAAACCGCCAAAUAAACCAUCCUGUAAUUGAAGAAAUUUUGAAAUUGAAUCAAUUGUACAAAUCAAUUGCGGUAUAGGAAAAGAAAUUCGAAUAUUGGAAAAAAGAUGACAUAAAAGUCUUAUUUCUUUUGAGAGAUGAGACUACAUACUACGCUGAGCGUAAUAUAAAUCCAAUCGCGUUCAAUUAUGAUGCAAGUUCGCAUAUAAAAAGUAUCACGGAGUAAAAUCAGAGAGGAAAUCCGUAUAUCGCAUUAGCUAUUUUUCAUUAAAUGGAAACUCGUCACAGUUUAAUUGAAUUCGAUAUCAUCAAUAAUAGAAUGCCGUAAAUAUAUUGACAAAAUCUAGUCUUACUUCAAUAUAAAUCAAGUAAUAGCGUGGGUCGAUAGAAUUUGAUAAUACCGACUGAUCCAUCAUAACAUGAAUUUAAAUAUUAACAAUCGCCAGAAACAUAAAGAAAUAUGUAUUAUUAUAUAUAGUAUGUAA